GCAUAGCUCAGUGGUAGAGCAGAAGCCCAGCAUGCACAAGGCCCUGGGUUCAAUCCCCAGCACUGCA
rnacentral:tRNA from 1 species